GGCAGUGUGGGCUCGCCUGGAAGACCCCCUGGCUUACCCGGAGGGGGUGCGUCUCCUGAGCAGCGUCCUGCUCCACGCGGGGCUCGUCUCCCCCUGUCUGGUGAAGAACCUCUUGCCAUGGCUGCAUUCCCGCUCAGUUAAACUGCGGGUGACAGCUACAGCUUUCUUUGCUGAGAUCUCUCAGGACCGCAGGAUGACAGGGACCUCCGGGAAAGGCAGGC